CCCGAAGCUUCUGUCCGCCGCCUGCACAAAGCCCUCGGGUUCGGCUCCUGGAGUGGGGUCUGCCCGUGGGUCUGCGAUCCUGUGGAGGGGGACCGAGAGAUUUCAAGUGCUAACUAAGGGAGGUGAUUGUAAAGGACUCAGAAAGAAUGCGGUGCUGCAGAGGUCACGGUUGAGAGCCGGGCUCUGGGGUUUAGGUUCCCACCGGUCCAAUCUCUGUGUGACCUUGACCAAGCGCCGGGACCCCUCAGAGCCUUCGUUUCUCCCUUGUUAAGCACUGAUGGUACAGCACUAAAAGACACGCUGUUUUUUUGCUGGAGGAAGCUUACCUCCUAAUUGAAUACUCAUUGGAUACUGAGACAAGAAAACAUACCAGUUCAAUAGUGUUGGGCCUCCCUCUUCCCUGAGACACAACAAUAUUGAAAUUAGGCCAAUUAAUAAUCCUACAAUGGCCUCUUAAGUGUCCAAAUGAAAGGAAGAGUCUGAUGUCUCUCAUUUUAAGUCAAACACUAGAAAUGAUGAAGCUUAGUGAGGAAGGCAAGUCAAAAGCAUAGAUAGGCCAAAAGUCAGGCCUCUUGCACCAAACAGUUAGCCAAGUUGUGAACACAGAGGAAACGUUCUUGAAGAAUAUUACAAGCGCUGCUCCAGUGAACCCAUAAAUGAUAAGAAAGUGAAACAACCUUACUGCUGAUAUGGAGAAUGUGUUCAUGGUCUGGAUAGAAGAUCAAACCAGCCACAACAUUCCCUUAAACUAAAGCCUAAUCUAGAGCCAGGUCCUAACUCUCUUCUAUGCUAUGAAGGCUGAGAGAAGUGAGGAAGCUGCAGAACAAGAGUUUGAAGCUAUCAGAGGUUGAUUCACGAGGCUUAAGGAAAGAAGCCAUCUGUGUAACAUAAAAGUGCAGGGUGAAGCAGCAAGUGCUGAUGUAGAAGCUACAGCAAGGUAUCCAGAAUAUCUAGCUAAGAUAAUUUAUGAAGGUGGCUAUAGCGAACAAGAGAUUUUCAAUGUCGAUAAAACAACUUUCGCUUGGAAGAAGAUGCCAUCUAGGAUUUUCGUAGCUAGAGAGGAGAAGUCAAUAUCUGGCUUCAAAGCGUCAAAGGACAGGCUGACUCUCUUGUUAUGGCUAAAGCAGCUGGUGAUUUGCCAUUGAAGCCAAUGCUCAUUUACCAUUCUGAGAAUCCUAGGGCCCUUAAGAAUUAUGCGAAAUCUACUCUGCCUGUGUUCCAUCAAUGCAACAACAAAGCCUGGAUGACAGCUAGCACAUCUGUUUACAACAUGGUUAACUGAAUAUUUUAAGCCCGCUGUUGAGAACUACUCCUCAGAAAAAAAAGAUUCCUUUCAAAAUAUUACUGCUCGUUGACAGUGCACCUGGUCACCCAAGAACUCUGAUGGAGACGUACAACAAGAUUAAUGUUGUUUUCAUGCCUGCUAACACAGCAUCCAUUCUGCAGCUCAUGGAUCAAGGAGUCAUUUUUACUUUCAAAUCUUAUUAUUUAGGAAAUAUAUUUCAUAAGGCUAUAGCUGCCCUAGAUAGUGAUUCCUCUGAUGGAUCUGGGCAAAAUAAAUCGAAAACCUUCUAGAAAGGAUUCACCAUUCUAGAUGCCAUUAAGAACAUUCAAGAUUCAUGGGAAGAGGUCAGUAUUAAUAGAGGUCAAAUAUCAAUAUUAACAGGAGUUUGGAAGAAGUUGAUUCCAACCCUCAUGUAUGACUUUGAGGGGUCCAAAACUUCAGUGAAGGAAGUUACCACAGCUCUGGUGGAAAUAGCAAGAGAACUAGAAUUAGAAGUGGAGCCUGAAGAUGUGACUGAAUUGCUGCAAUCUCAGGAUAAGACUUGAAUGGAUGAGGAGUUGCUUCUUAUGCACAGAAAAUGGUUUCUUGAGAUGGAACCUACUCCUGGAGGAGAUGCUGUGAAGAUUAUCAAAAUGACAACAAAGGAUUUAGAAUAUGACAUAAACUUAAUUGAUAAAGCAGCAGCAGGGUUUGAGAAGGUUGGCUUCAAGUUCUACUGUGGGUAAAAUGCUAUCAAACAGCAUUGCAUGUUACAGAGACAUCAUUUGGUAAAGGAAGAGUCAAUUGGUGUGGCAAAUUUCACUGUUGUCUUAUUUUAAGACAUUGCCACAGGACUUCCCUGGUGGUGUAGUUGUUAAGAAUCCGCCUGCCAGUGCAGGGGACACGGGUUCGAGCCCUGGUCCGGGAAGAUCCCACAUGCCGCGGAGCAGCUAAGCCCGUGCGCCACAACUACUGAGCCUGCGCUCUAGAGUCCGUGAGUCACAACUACUGAGCCUGCGUGCCGCAACUACUGGAGCCUGCAUGCCUAGAGCCCGUGCUCCGCAACAAGAGAAGCCACCGCAAUGAGAAGCCUGCCCACCGCAACGAAGAGUAGCCCCCACUCGCCACAACUAGAGAAAGCCUGCGUGCAGCAACGAAGACCCAACGCAGCCAAAAAUACAUAAAUGAAUAAAUAAAUUUAUAAAAAAAAAAAAAAAAAGACAUUGUCACAGCCACCCCAGCCUUCAGCAACCACCACCCCAAUCAGUCAGCAGCCAUCAACAUGAAGGCAAGUACCUCCACCAGCAAAAAAGCUC